rnacentral:rRNA from 1 species
AUUGAACGCUGGCGGCAUGCCUUACACAUGCAAGUCGAACGGUAACAGGUCUUCGGAUGCUGACGAGUGGCGAACGGGUGAGUAAUACAUCGGAACGUGCCUAGUAGUGGGGGAUAACUACUCGAAAGAGUGGCUAAUACCGCAUGAGAUCUACGGAUGAAAGCAGGGGAUCGCAAGACCUUGUGCUACCAGAGCGGCCGAUGGCAGAUUAGGUAGUUGGUGGGAUAAAAGCUUACCAAGCCGACGAUCUGUAGCUGGUCUGAGAGGACGAUCAGCCACACUGGGACUAAGACACGGCCCAGACGCCGACGGGAGGCAGCAGUGGGGAAUUUUGGACAAUGGGCGCAAGCCUGAUCCAGCAAUGCCGCGUGCAGGAUGAAGGCCUUCGGGUUGUAAACUGCUUUUGUACGGAACGAAAAGCCCUGGGUUAAUACCCUGGGGUCAUGACGGUACCGUAAGAAUAAGCACCGGCUAACUACGUGCCAGCAGCCGCCGUAA